rnacentral:misc_RNA from 1 species
AAGUCGUAACAAGGUUUCCGUAGGUGAACCUGCGGAAGGAUCAUUACCAAUUUUAAUCCAAAUCUCAAACCCGUGUGAACUAUUGCAUUGUCUGUCUUUGGGGUGAUUUGAUGUAUUGCCUGUAUUUUACACGGCAAUCAUGAUAUUCACCCCAAAUAUUUUGUUCAAACCCUUUAUUUCUUGUCCAUUGGCAUCUAUUGUCUUAAUAAAUUAAAUAAAGGACAACUUUUAACGGUGGAUCUCUUGGCUCGUG